rnacentral:rRNA from 1 species
UUGCUAGUAAUCGCGGAUCAGCAUGCCGCGGUGAAUACGUUCCCGGGCCUUGUACACACCGCCCGUCACACCAUGGGAGCCGGUAAUACCCGAAGUCAGUAGUCCAACCUCGUGAGGACGCUGCCGAAGGUAGGAUUGGCGACUGGGGUGAAGUCGUAACAAGGUAUC